rnacentral:rRNA from 1 species
UGAGCAAUCUGCCCUUCACAUCGGAAUAACCAUUGGAAACGAUGGCUAAUACCGAAUAUGACUUCGGAUCGCAUGAUCUGAAGUGGAAAGCUCCGGCGGUGAAGGAUGAGCUCGCGGCCUAUCAGCUUGUUGGUGAGGUAAUAGCUCACCAAGGCGAUGGACGGGUAGCCGGCCUGGAGGGGGUGACCGGCCACACGUGGGACUGAGACACGGCCCAGACCUCCG